rfam:Rhodococcus rhodnii LMG 5362 LMG_5362_contig059, whole genome shotgun sequence.
GUCGGUCCUCGGUAGUGGCUGCCGCGACGCGACACGCAUCCGGCAGCUUCGAUCGAUGACCGCC